CCUACGGGUGGCUGCAGUGGGGAAUAUUGGACAAUGGGGGGAACCCUGAUCCAGCCAUGCCGCGUGUGUGAAGAAGGCCCUCGGGUUGUAAAGCACUUUCAGUGAGGAAGAACGCCUGGUGGUUAAUACCCAUCAGGAAAGACAUCACUCACAGAAGAAGCACCGGCUAACUCCGUGCCAGCAGCCGCGGUAAUACGGAGGGUGCGAGCGUUAAUCGGAAUUACUGGGCGUAAAGCGCGCGUAGGUGGCUUGAUAAGCCGGUAGUGAAAGCCCCGGGCUCAACCUGGGAACGGCAUCCGGAACUGUCAAGCUAGAGUGCAGGAGAGGAAGGUAGAAUUCCCGGUGUAGCGGUGAAAUGCGUAGAGAUCGGGAGGAAUACCAGUGGCGAAGGCGGCCUUCUGGACUGACACUGACACUGAGGUGCGAAAGCGUGGGUAGCAAACAGGAUUAGAUACCCUGGUAGUC
rnacentral:rRNA from 1 species